rnacentral:rRNA from 1 species
UACGUAGGGCGCAAGCGUUGUCCGGAAUUAUUGGGCGUAAAGAGCUCGUAGGCGGUUUGUCGCGUCUGCUGUGAAAACCUAAGGCUCAACCUUGGGCUUGCAGUGGGUACGGGCAGACUAGAGUGCGGUAGGGGUGACUGGAAUUCCCGGUGUAGCGGUGGAAUGCGCAGAUAUCAGGAGGAACACCGAUGGCGAAGGCAGGUCACUGGGCCGCAACUGACGCUGAGGAGCGAAAGCAUGGGGAGCGAACAGG